UACGUAGGGUCCGAGCGUUGUCCGGAUUUAUUGGGCGUAAAGAGCUCGUAGGCGGCUCAGUAAGUCAGAUGUGAAAACUCAGGGCUCAACCCGGAGACGCCAUCUGAUACUGCUGUGGCUUGAGUCUGGUAGGGGAUCACGGAAUUCCUGGUGUAGCGGUGAAAUGCGCAGAUAUCAGGAGGAACACCGGUGGUGUAGACGGCUUUCUGGACCGUAACUGACGCUGAGACACGAAAGCGUGGGUAGCAAACAGG
rnacentral:rRNA from 1 species